rnacentral:rRNA from 1 species
AACGAACGCUGGCGGCAUGCCUAACACAUGCAAGUCGAACGAUGCCUUCGGGCAUAGUGGCGCACGGGUGCGUAACGCGUGGGAAUCUGCCUUUCGGUUCGGAAUAACUCAGGGAAACUUGAGCUAAUACCGGAUAACGUCGCAAGACCAAAGAUUUAUCACCGAAAGAUGAGCCCGCGUAGGAUUAGCUAGUUGGUGAGGUAAAGGCUCACCAAGGCGACGAUCCUUAGCUGGUCUGAGAGGAUGAUCAGCCACACUGGGACUGAGACACGGCCCAGACUCCUACGGGAGGCAGCAGUGGGGAAUAUUGGACAAUGGGCGAAAGCCUGAUCCAGCAAUGCCGCGUGAGUGAUGAAGGCCUUAGGGUUGUAAAGCUCUCUUACCCGGGAAGAUAAUGACGGUACCGGGAGAAUAAGCCCCGGCUAACUCCGUG